rnacentral:sRNA from 1 species
AAGCUUCAAACGCAUUCUCACGCUCAGAUGAGCACUUUAUUUUUCAUCAAGUUAUUUUUUGCAUUGUUUUGGAGCAGCUUUGAAUAAUAAACACAUAUUUCUGCUUUAAAUUUUUAAUGGUUACUAUAUUCAUGGGACAACCAAAGCAAGAAAGCCUCAUGUUUUGGGGGAAAGUUUGAUAUCAGCAAUGUCCAGACAAGUCAGAAAAUAACACCGAAUGGAAAAUGAGAAUGGAAAGGAGAAGAGAAGCAUGUAAAAGGGGCUGUGUCGACAAAAUUUCAUCUUAGGAUACAAUUGCUUUCAUCCUGGACAAAAUGCUUUCAGAGAGAUUACCACAUUGUAUGACCAAGCAAGGGUUACUAUUACGAUUUUUAUUCUGCAGCUGUGAAAACCAAGACUCAGAAACAUUAAGGGCCAUGUCCAGUGAUAGGUAUCUUAAAGAUUGAGAGUCAGAUCUCCAGCCCUUGCAUCUGCCUCCACCUCCGGCUCUUAGGUUCCCGUCCUUCCACUAACUAGCUGUGUGAUCCUG